GACGAACGCUGGCGGCGUGCUUAACACAUGCAAGUCGAACGGAAAGGCCUCUUUCGGGGGGUACUCGAGUGGCGAACGGGUGAGUAACACGUGAGUAACCUGCCCUUGACUUUGGGAUAACUUCAGGAAACUGGGGCUAAUACCGGAUAGGAGCUCCUGCUGCAUGGUGGGGGUUGGAAAGUUUCGGCGGUUGGGGAUGGACUCGCGGCUUAUCAGCUUGUUGGGGGGGUAGUGGCUUACCAAGGCUUUGACGGGUAGCCGGCCUGAGAGGGUGACCGGCCACAUUGGGACUGAGAUACGGCACAGAUUGCUACGGGAGGCAGAAGUGGGGAAGAUUGCACAAUGGGUGGAAGCCUGAUGCAGCAAGGCCGUGUGCGGGAUGACGGCCUUCGGGUUGUAAAACGCUUUCGCUCAUGACGAAGCUUUGUGUGACGGUAGUGGGUAAAGAAGCACCGGCUAACUACGUG
rnacentral:rRNA from 1 species